rnacentral:lncRNA from 1 species
UGGAUGAAGAAAAGAUUAACUUCAUUACUUGAAUAAGCAAAAAACCAUAUACAUACGUAUUUCAAUUACAUUGGUAAAAAACAAAGUUUGCUUGUGCAAGUAUCCAAGAUGUUAAAUCAGCUUAAAGACAACCUAAAUGACUACUAAAUCAGCUAAGCACAUGAUUAAACCUUAGCUGAUCAAACAAAAAAAGAUUACAAUCAAAUUAGCAAAAGUCAACUAUUACAAAAGCUCUACAACUGAAUUACACCAUGGAUAUUUGC